AUGGCUCAGGAUGAACGCUAGCUACAGGCUUAACACAUGCAAGUCGAGGGGCAGCAUGUUGGUUGCUUGCAACCAAUGAUGGCGACCGGCGCACGGGUGAGUAACGCGUAUCCAACCUUCCCUAUAGUAGAGGAUAGCCCGGCGAAAGUCGGAUUAAUACUCUAUGUUUUCCAAUGCAGACAUCUAAAAUGGAACAAAGGUUCACCGCUAUAGGAUGGGGAUGCGUCUGAUUAGAUAGUCGGCGGGGUAACGGCCCACCGAGUCGACGAUCAGUAGGGGUUCUGAGAGGAAGGUCCCCCACAUUGGAACUGAGACACGGUCCAAACUCCUACGGGAGGCAGCAGUGAGGAAUAUUGGUCAAUGGGCGAGAGCCUGAACCAGCCAAGUAGCGUGCAGGAUGACGGCCCUAUGGGUUGUAAACUGCUUUUAUACAGGGAUAAAGUGACGUACGUGUACGUUUUUGUAGGUACUGUAUGAAUAAGGACCGGCUAAUUCCGUGCCAGCAGCUGC
rnacentral:rRNA from 1 species